CAGUAGCCGCGGGAAUACGUAGGUGGCAAGCGUUGUCCGGAAUUAUUGGGCGUAAAGCGCGCGCAGGUGGUUUAAUAAGUCUGAUGUGAAAGCCCACGGCUCAACCGUGGAGGGUCAUUGGAAACCGUUAAACUUGAGUGCAGGAGAGAAAAGUGGAAUUCCUAGUGUAGCGGUGAAAUGCGUAGAGAUUAGGAGGAACACCAGUGGCGAAGGCGGCUUUUUGGCCUGUAACUGACACCGAGGCGCGAAAGCGUGGGGAGCAAACAGGAUUAGAUACCCCAGUAGUCCCUGUCUCUUAUAC
rnacentral:rRNA from 1 species